UUAAGAUCUGACUUGGACUAGUUAUGUCUGACAGAGACUGUGGUUGAAAUUAUGGAGUCUGACUCUUCUCAGAGUGAACACUUGUACAAUGGAUCUUCAUUUAGUUAUUCUGUUCUGUGCCUCAACCGCUGCUGUCUUUGGGAAUGUCAUUAAACCAAACCAACCAGAUGUUUUUGCUGAGAAGGGUUCAAGUGUUCCAUUGUCAUGUAGUUAUUCUGCAUCUGGAGGUAGUGAUUAUCUCUACUGGUACCGUCAGUAUGGAAGAUCAAAACCUGAAUUUCUUGUACUCACCUACAGCAGUGCAAAAAAAGCUGAAGUGUCUGAUGUAGAUCCAAGAUUCACUGUUAACAAUACAAAAAAAGAUCAUGUGGAUCUGGAGAUCUCCUCUGCUGCUGUAUCAGACUCUGCUCUGUACUACUGUGCUCUGAGGCCCACAGUGACAGGAAACACAUCAGCUCUCUACAAAAACCUGCUACAAUGAGAGACAGGAAAGAAACACAGAGACAAACAGAACAUUUGUGACAAAGAAGCUAGUAUACAAAUAUUUAAAUAAUCUAAUGCAAAAGGGACCAAAACAUAAAGCAAAAAUCAACAUUCUAAAGUGAGUCAAAAAUUAUGUUUAAUUUGUUAAUAAGUGAAAUGCCAAUAUUAUGCAAUACUUGCAGGUAACCAUAGGAUGGCAGUAAGCACUCAAUAUUACCUUUGAGAAUACAGCUUUUUUUUUUUUUUGAAUCAUCCUCAUCAUAUCAAAAGCAAAACAUUUGCAUUCACUGAUUUAUAUUUAAAGUGUAUUCAACAUAGACAGUCAUGUCACACAGGUUGAGGAAUAUACUUCUUUUCACACUAUUUCUUGGUAUGCAUUUUAUAUAACUGCACUUUUAAUUGUUUUCCAUUUAAUAUUCUUAAACCUUUUCAAAGUGCAGAUCAGAGGAUAUGGUUGAUCAACCAGACAAACAUCUGACUGAAGUUGAAAGAAGAUCAAUGAUAUAUGACACAGAUUCAAUAUGAGAUUUUUUUUUUUCCUGUUUUGAACAAUCAUAAAAAUGGUUGGAAAAGAUUGAUCACACACAAUCAAAUAAUAUACAAAAUACAUUACACCAUAUGAAUGAAAGUGAACAGCAGCAGGAAGUUCAGAGAGGAUGAAGUUCCUGUGUGUGUGUUUGUGACU